rnacentral:rRNA from 1 species
UGGGGAAUUUUGGACAAUGGGCGCAAGCCUGAUCCAGCCAUGCCGCGUGCAGGAUGAAGGCCUUCGGGUUGUAAACUGCUUUUGUACGGAACGAAAAGGUGCCUUCUAAUAAAGGGCGCUCAUGACGGUACCGUAAGAAUAAGCACCGGCUAACUACGUGCCAGCAGCCGCGGUAAUACGUAGGAUGCAAGCGUUAUCCGGAAUUAUUGGGUUUAAAGGGUGCGUAGGCGGACUAAUAAGUCAGUGGUGAAAGCCUGCAGCUUAACUGCAGAAUUGCCAUUGAUACUGUUAGUCUUGAGUACAGUUGAGGUAGGCGGAAUGUGUCAUGUAGCGGUGAAAUGCUUAGAUAUGACACAGAACACCGAUUGCGAAGGCAGCUUGCUAAGCUGUAACUGACGCUGAGGCACGAAAGCGUGGGGAGCAAACA